rnacentral:misc_RNA from 1 species
CUGAGUGAGGGCCCUCGGGCUCGACCUCCAACCCUUUGUGAACACAACUUGUUGCUUCGGGGGCGACCCUGCCGUCUCGCGGCGGCGGGCGCCCCCGGAGGUCCACCAACACUGCAUCUCUGCGUCGGAGUCUAAGUAAGUUUGAACA